CCUACGGGAGGCUGCAGUAACGAAUAUUCCACAAUGGGCGCAAGCCUGAUGGAGCAAUGCCGCGUGCAGGAUGAAGCCCCUCGGGGUGUAAACUGCUGUCAGGGUUCAGGAAACAAAUGACCAGACCCAAAGGAAGAGGCGGCUAACUCUGUGCCAGCAGCCGCGGUAAUACAGAGGCCUCGAGCGUUGCGCGGAAUCACUGGGCUUAAAGGGUGCGUAGGUGGACAUGCAAGUGCCUUGUGAAAUCCCCGGGCUCAACCCGGGAACUGCUUGGUAGACUGCAUGUCUUGAGGUCGGUAGGGGUCGCUGGAACAGUUGGUGGAGCGGUGAAAUGCGUAGAUAUCAACUGGAACGCCAAAGGUGAAGACAAGCGACUGGGCCGAUUCUGACACUGAGGCACGAAAGCGUGGGGAGCAAACGGGAUUAGAUACCCUGGUAGU
rnacentral:rRNA from 1 species